rnacentral:rRNA from 1 species
GGCUCGGAUCGGCGGUCCGCUUUACGGCGUGUACUGUCGACUCGGGCCUUACCUCUUGGUGAUCCCGCAUGGCCUUUACUGGCUGUGUGGGCGAACCAGGACCUUUACCUUGAGAAAAUUAGAGUGUUCAAAGCAGGCCUGCGCCUGAAUACGUUAGCAUGGAAUAAUAGAAUAGGACGUGCGGUUCUAUUUUGUUGGUUUCUAGAGUCGCCGUA